rnacentral:rRNA from 1 species
UACGUAGGGUGCGAGCGUUAAUCGGAAUUACUGGGCGUAAAGCGUGCGCAGGCGGUUGGGUAAGACAGGCGUGAAAUCCCCGGGCUUAACCUGGGAAUGGCGCUAGUGACUGCCCGGCUAGAGUGUGACAGAGGGGGGUGGAAUUCCACGUGUAGCAGUGAAAUGCGUAGAGAUGUGGAGGAACACCGAUGGCGAAGGCAGCCCCCUGGGUUAACACUGACGCUCAGGCACGAAAGCGUGGGGAGCAAACAGG